CUUCAGGUGAAUUAGUGGCGAACGGGUGAGUAACACGUGGGCAAUCUGCCCUUCACUCUGGGACAAGCCCUGGAAACGGGGUCUAAUACCGGAUACGAGCCUCCACCGCAUGGUGGGGGUUGGAAAGCUCCGGCGGUGAAGGAUGAGCCCGCGGCCUAUCAGCUUGUUGGUGAGGUAAUGGCUCACCAAGGCGACGACGGGUAGCCGGCCUGAGAGGGCGACCGGCCACACUGGGACUGAGACACGGCCCAGACUCCUACGGGAGGCAGCAGUGGGGAAUAUUGCACAAUGGGCGAAAGCCUGAUGCAGCGACGCCGCGUGAGGGAUGACGGCCUUUCGGGUUGUAAACCUCUUUCAGCAGGGAAGAAGCGAAAGUGACGGUACCUGCAGAAGAAGCGCCGGCUAACUACGUGCCAGCAGCCGCGGUAUACGUAGGGCGCAAGCGUUGUCCCGGAAUUAUUGGGCGUAAAGAGCUCGUAGGCCGGCUUGUCACGUCAUUGUGAAAGCCCGAGGCUUACCCUCGGGUCUGCAGUCAAUCGGGCUAGCUAGAGUGUGGUAGGGGAGAUCGGAAUUCCUGGUGGUACCGGUGAAUGC
rnacentral:rRNA from 2 species